rnacentral:misc_RNA from 1 species
GAUGAAGAAACGCAGCGAAAUGCGAUAAGUAGUGUGAAUUGCAGAAUUCAGUGAAUCAUCGAAUCUUUGAACGCACAUUGCGCCCCUUGGUAUUCCAUGGGGCAUGCCUGUUCGAGCGUCAUUUGUACCUUCAAGCUUUGCUUGGUGUUGGGUGUUUGUCUCGCCUUUGCGUGUAGACUCGCCUUAAAAUAAUUGGCAGCCGGCGUAUUGAUUUCGGAGCGCAGUACAUCUCGCGCUUUGCACUCAUAACGACAGCGUCCAAAAGUACAUUUUACACUCUUGACCUCGGAUCAGGUAGGGAUACCCGCUGAACUUAAGCAUAUCAAUAAGCGGAGGA